rnacentral:rRNA from 1 species
GACGAACGCUGGCGGCGUGCUUAACACAUGCAAGUCGAACGGAAAGGCCCUGCUUUUGUGGGGUGCUCGAGUGGCGAACGGGUGAGUAACACGUGAGUAACCUGCCCUUGACUUUUGGAUAACUUCAGGAAACUGGGGCUAAUACCGGAUAGGAGCUCCUGCUGCAUGGUGGGGGUUGGAAAGUUUCGGCGGUUGGGGAUGGACUCGCGGCUUAUCAGCUUGUUGGUGGGGUAGUGGCUUACCAAGGCUUUGACGGGUAGCCGGCCUGAGAGGGUGACCGGCCACAUUGGGACUGAGAUACGGCCCAGACUCCUACGGGAGGAAGCAGUGGGGAAUAUUGCACAAUGGGCGGAAGCCUGAUGCAGCAACGCCGCGUGCGGGAUGACGGCCUUCGGGUUGUAAACCGCUUUCGCCUGUGACGAAGCGUGAGUGACGGUAAUGGGUAAAGAAGCACCGGCUAACUACGUG